ensembl:lncRNA
UUUUGUUCCCAAAUCAGUAAAAUAAGACUUAAUAUGGCAGUCCAUUACAUUCUAAUCUUGGAACAUGCACUUAUACACAGUACACAUGUACAGUCUUUGCAUGCAGCUUCCACACCAGCACUUCUUUGUGUUUGGCUGGAGUGAGUGUGAUGUCACAACACCUGUGCAGUAAACAUGUUUUAUUCCAGCUUCCACAUUUGGCGUCACUCUGUUCUUUCCAUCAAGGCUCAGCUGGGGUGUACUACGGAGCAGUGGAUGGGUUAGCAGGUUAUGUUGAGCUUAUAGAGUAUACAUGUCGACCCCGAGUGCGUACGUGCCACGGCUCCAUUUGAACCUUUUACACUGGCCGAAUAUUAAUAAUGUCUCCUCAGAAAACUUCAUCUCACAUUAGUCUCGACUACUUUACAGCGCUGGUGUUGCCUUUUAUGUUUAUAGGAUUUACAGAUUUCCUCUGACGUGUUUGUCGUCUUACCCGUCAUCUCCGACGGGGAUUAGUCGAGCUAGCUCAUGCUAACAGAGCCUGGCCGUUUUCAACUUUCUUUGAAGUACACCACUCAUGACAAAACAAGAAACACAAUGAAAGAAGUACAAAGCCUUUAUUCUUAUGUACAAAUGCUAAUAGCUAGAUUGUUGUAUGAGCUUAUAGUUCUAAUUUUGGGUUCAAUCUGAGGUUACACGGGCCCAAACCAAACAUGCAUGGGUCCAACCUCACAAUAUUCAAUGAUUAACUGAAUACUAACAAAAUCUCAAAUGAGAUAAAACUCAUUUCAAAGCUGCCUUUAACUAAAGAUUUAUGGAUGGACACAUUGUAACCUUAGAAUGAUACAACAGGGAGCAUGUUGAGGUUCCAAAUGGUUUGAGAUCAGAUUUGUUCCAUUUAAAUCACAAAGUGACUCUGAGUUAUGACUUUAAGAAGUUGUUAUAUCGGAUAUCUGCAUUUAGUCAAGUCAGAUGACUUUUUUUUCAUUAUUUAGACAACUUCUUUAAUUAUUUGAGCUCAAACUCAACUCUCAUGUCAACAUCGUCACCUUCAGUAAGCAGGGUCAGUUUAUAACGACCGUUUUCAUCCACAACUCCAAGAACUUUUUUGCAAUCUGCUGAGAACACAAACUUAAACCUGUUAGUUCCAUCAAGUUUCAUCUUGUAGAACAAAGCCUCGUGAUUCGUUCCAGGGAUGUCUGUGGGGGGCGUCUAUGGACAGACAUAAGGAGAAAAAGAGUAACAAUCACCGUGUCAUCCUGACGCACUGCAGAUCAAGUAUAGUGGCCCUUUCACACGUGGAGAUUAAACUGUUGUUUAAUAAGCAGAAUUAAGGAGUCUAGUGAUGGUGUCAAACAGGAACGAUGACAAUCAAUGUUAAUUAAACUAGCAGAAUGAGAUGAUUUUUCUCAUUUUAAGAGCUGGUUCAAAUUUAUUAAUUAAACUGUAUUCAUUUUUAAAAACAUAAAAAAUAAAAGCUUUUUUGUGGGCCAGUAAAAAUACACACUUACUGAUAUACUGGUUUCUUAUUAAUAUCUAAACCAGUGGUCUCCAACCCACGGACCGCGGACCGGUCCAUGAGUCAUUUGGUACUGGACCGCGAGACCUGAAGCUCGGGGUCUUUUCCUGUGUGUUAUGAAUAAAUCUUCUUUUUGGUACUGGUUUUAUUUUGUUGUAUUUAUCUGCAACACCUUAAAGGCCGUUCCGUGAAAAUAUUGUUGGACAUAAACUGGUCUGUGGCACAAAAAAGGUUGGAGACCGCUGCACUAAAACCAACUCUGAAUGACUUUUCUUGUACUUACCAUUGGUACAGCUUGAAUUUUGUGCUCCUUACAACAUACCACCAUUGUCUGGUC